GACGGAGGUCCCGAGCGUUGUUCGGAAUUAUUGGGCUUAAAGCGCGUGUAGGCGGGAUGGCAAGUACCUUGGGAAAUCCCCGGACUCAAUCCGGGAACUGCUUGGUAUACUGCCGUUCUCGAGGCAGGUAGGGGUCACUGGAACCUUAGGUGGAGCGGUGAAAUGCGUAGAUAUCUAAGGGAACGCCUGUGGCGAAAGCGGGUGACUGGGCCUGUCCUGACGCUGAGACGCGAAAGCGUAGGGAGCAAACGGG
rnacentral:rRNA from 1 species